rnacentral:rRNA from 1 species
UGGCGACCGGCGCACGGGUGAGUAACACGUAUCCAACCUGCCGAUGACUCGGGGAUAGCCUUUCGAAAGAAAGAUUAAUACCCGAUGGCAUAGUUCUUCCGCAUGGUAGGACUAUUAAAGAAUUUCGGUCAUCGAUGGGGAUGCGUUCCAUUAGGUUGUUGGCGGGGUAACGGCCCACCAAGCCUUCGAUGGAUAGGGGUUCUGAGAGGAAGGUCCCCCACAUUGGAACUGAGACACGGUCCAA